rnacentral:tRNA from 1 species
GGCUCGGUAGCUUAGUUGGUAAAGCGCUCGUAUAGCAUACAAGAGCCUGGAUUCAAAUCCCAGCCGAGCAC